rnacentral:rRNA from 1 species
ACACGUAAGGGGCAAGCGUUGUUCGGAAUUAUUGGGCGUAAAGGGCGCGUAGGCGGUCCUGUAAGCCCGGCGUGAAAUCCUGGAGCUCAACUCCAGAACAGCGCCGGGAACUGCGGGACUGGAGUCAUGGAAGGGGAGUUGGAAUUCCAGGUGUAGGGGUGAAAUCUGUAGAUAUCUGGAAGAACACCGGUGGCGAAGGCGAACUCCUGGCCAAUGACUGACGCUGAGGCGCGAAAGCGUGGGGAGC